rnacentral:lncRNA from 1 species
GGACUCUUAUCUAGGAAUGCAAUGGCAGAACUGCUAUUCCUUACAUGCAUAAGCUAAACCAUAAAGGAGAUACAAUCAAUACAAAUAUGAAAGCAAGAUUUGUAUGAUCAAGUGGAAUUAAGAUGGCAGCUAAAGAUGGUAAAGUUAUGUUUCACAUAGCAUCUUCCUCCAAGAACUCAUAACUUGAACAACUAAUCUUUGAUGGAGAGUGAGAACCAAAAAAGCACACCAGAAGCAAUCAACAAAAAAGGCAAUCACCUGCAUAGGCAGAAAUAUCCAAGUGUUCCCAAGAUUUAGAUUUUGCAAACACAUGUGGCACUUAGCUAAACCCUGAAGAGGAGUGCUAAAAAGAGGCAAAGGGAGAAAAGAGUGAGUGAGGGCAAGUGGAAGUGAUGAAAGUGCUCACAAGUAAAAGACAAGCUCCAACUUAGAAAGAAAAUUAAGAGUGGAUACCAACGAGUAAUGAUAUCACACUCUGUGGUGUAGAGAAAAACUUUCCUUUCUAGUGAAAUUCCCCUCAAUAAAAAUC